CUCGAGACGAUCGAUCACCUGCUCCUUCACUGCUCAUUCUCUAGGAUCAUCUGGCAAGAGAUUCUUGCUGGUGCCCCCCCCCGCUGCCGCCCCCAGGACCCUGAGGCCUCCUUCUUGGACUGGUGGUCGACCUCGGUCGCGACUGCGCCUACCGCCAUGCGCAAAGGGCUCUCCUCCCUGGUGCUUCUCUCCGCAUGGUCCCUCUGGCGUCACUGCAACGCAUGCAUCUUUGACAAUGCUAGCUCCUCCACCGUGCUGCUUCUCCAGGCCAUCAAGGACGAUGCUCGGGUUUGGGCCUCGGCUGGCGCCAAAGACAUAGCUAAUCUCAUGCCACCUUGA
rnacentral:rRNA from 1 species